AACGUAGGUGACAAACGUUAUCCGGAGUUACUGGGCGUAAAGGGCGUGUAGGCGGUUAGUUAAGUCUGGCGUGAAAGCUCUCGGCUAAACCGGGAGAGGUCGUUGGAUACUGGCAAACUUGAGGACGGUAGAGGCGUGUGGAAUUCCGGGUGUAGUGGUGAAAUGCGUAGAGAUCCGGAGGAACACCAGUGGCGAAGGCGACACGCUGGGCCGUACCUGACGCUAAAGCGCGACAGCAUGGGGAGCAAACGGG
rnacentral:rRNA from 1 species